rnacentral:tRNA from 1 species
UAGCUCAGUUGGUUAGAGCGUGCGGCUGUUAACCGCAAGGUCGUUGGUUCGAUCCCAGC